rnacentral:rRNA from 1 species
UACGUAGGGGGCAAGCGUUGUCCGGAAUCAUUGGGCGUAAAGAGCGCGUAGGCGGCCCGGUAAGUCCGCUGUAAAAGUCCAGGGCUCAACCCUGGAAAGCCGGUGGAUACUGUCGGGCUAGAGUCCGGAAGAGGCGAGUGGAAUUCCUGGUGUAGCGGUGGAAUGCGCAGAUAUCAGGAGGAACACCGAUGGCGAAGGCAGCUCGCUGGGACGGUACUGACGCUGAGGCGCGAAAGCCAGGGGAGCAAACGGG